UUCAAAGGGGAGCUGGAUGGAAUCCGGCUGAGAGGCGGCGUGCUUUCGCUGCGACCCGAGGAACCUGAUCCGGGUAAUGCCGGCGUAGGGAGAGCGAUGAAAUU
rnacentral:ncRNA from 1 species